CGGAAUUACUGGGCGUAAAGCGCGCGUAGGCGGUUAUUUAAGUGAGGUGUGAAAUCCCUGGGCUCAACCUAGGAACUGCAUUUCAAACUGGAUAACUUGAGUAUGUCAGAGGGUAUUGGAAUUUCCCCGUGUAGCAGUGAAAAUGCGUAGAUAUGGGAAGGAACAUCAGUGGCGAAGGCGAAUACCUGGGAUAAUACUGACGCUGAGGUGCGAAAGCGUGGGGACGCAAACGGGAUUAGAUACCCCUGGUAG
rnacentral:rRNA from 1 species